UACGACCAUAUCAUGUUGAAACACCGGAUUCCGUACGAUCACCGAAAUUAAGCAACAUCGAGCUUGGUUAGGACUUAGAUGAGUGACUGCUUG